rnacentral:rRNA from 1 species
CCUACGGGAGGCAGCAGUGGGGAAUUUUGGACAAUGGGCGCAAGCCUGAUCCAGCAAUGCCGCGUGAGUGAAGAAGGCCUUCGGGUUGUAAAGCUCUUUUGUCAGGGAAGAAACGGUCUACUCUAAUACAGUGGGCUAAUGACGGUACCUGAAGAAUAAGCACCGGCUAACUACGUGCCAGCAGCCGCGGUAAUACGUAGGGUGCAAGCGUUAAUCGGAAUUACUGGGCGUAAAGCGUGCGCAGGCGGUUAUAUAAGUCAGAUGUGAAAUCCCCGGGCUCAACCUGGGAACUGCAUUUGAGACUGUAUGGCUAGAGUGUGUCAGAGGGGGGUAGAAUUCCACGUGUAGCAGUGAAAUGCGUAGAUAUGUGGAGGAAUACCGAUGGCGAAGGCAGCCCCCUGGGAUAACACUGACGCUCAUGCACGAAAGCGUGGGGAGCAAACAGGAUUAGAUACCCUGGUAGUCCACGCCCUAAACGAUGUCUACUAGUUGUCGGGACUUAAUUGUCUUGGUAACGCAGCUAACGCGUGAAGUAGACCGCCUGGGGAGUACGGUCGCAAGAUUAAAACUCAAAGGAAUUGACGGCUGAGAGAGACGACGACGACGACGAGGGAGGAGG